rnacentral:rRNA from 1 species
UCCAGAGGGUGCAAACGUUGUGCGGAAUUACUGGGCGUAAAGCGAGUGUAGGCGGUUUCCUAAGUCAGGUGUGAAAGCCCCGGGCUCAACCCGGGAAGUGCACUUGAAACUGGGAGGCUAGAGUAUCGGAGAGGUUGGUGGAAUUCUCGGUGUAGAGGUGAAAUUCGUAGAUAUCGAGAGGAACACCGGUGGCGAAGGCGGCCAACUGGACGAAUACUGACGCUGAGCCUCGAAAGCGUGGGGAGCAAACAGG